rnacentral:rRNA from 1 species
GACGAACCGUGCAAACGUUGUUCGGAAUCACUGGGCAUAAAGGGCGCGUAGGCGGCCCGACCAGUCUGCGGUGAAAGCCCCCCGCUCAACGGGGGAAGGGCCGUGGAUACUGUCGGGCUCGAGGGAGACAGGGGCAGGUGGAACUUCCGGUGGAGCGGUGAAAUGCGUUGAGAUCGGAAGGAACACCGGUGGCGAAAGCGGCGCGCUGGAUCUCUUCUGACGCUGAGGCGCGAAAGCCAGGGGAGCAAACGGG